AGCCUGGACAAAAAGAGUGAAAUGCCAUCUCCAAAAAAAAAAAAAAGGAAUUAAAAACAACAAAACCCAUGUUUCGUAAUCCCAGAUAUAGUCACUCCACCCUGCAGAGCUGACUAUGCACAUUGAACAGGAAUGUGCCCUUACAGGGAUCAGUGUCCUUCAGGGAUGUGGCUAUAGAUUUCAGCAGAGAGGAGUGGAGGCACCUAGACCCGUCUCAGAGAAACCUGUACCGGGAUGUGAUGCUGGAGACCUACAGCCACCUGCUCUCAGUCGGGUAUCAAUUUCCUAAACCAGAGGUGGUCAUGUUGGAGCAAGGAAAGGAACCAUGGAUAUUGCAGGGUGAGAGGCCACAUCACAGCUGCCCAGGAAUGGCCAUGAGAUUUCUCACCUCUUCCCAGUCCUUCAGGCCUUUCCUCUAGCUGAUAACUUGGGAAUCAUUGUCACUUCAUCUUUGGGAAUACCUCUCUGCUUUGUUUGACAUGACAUGAUUAAUCACCAUUUCUGACAUUUUCUUCUGAUACUGCUUGAGCAAUUCCACAGUGUUAGGGUCUCUCUGUCUAGUUGGGCUUGUUUGUUUGUUCAUUUUUUUGAGGUGGAGUCUCUCUCUGUCGCCAAGGCUGGAGUGCAGUGGCACA